rnacentral:rRNA from 1 species
CCGAUGGAGGGGGAUAACUACUGGAAACGGUAGCUAAUACCGCAUAACGUCGCAAGACCAAAGAGGGGGACCUUCGGGCCUCUUGCCAUCGGAUGUGCCCAGAUGGGAUUAGCAGUAGGUGGGGUAACGGCUCACCUAGGCGACGAUCCCUAGCUGGUCUGAGAGGAUGACCAGCCACACUGGAACUGAGACACGGUCCAG